rnacentral:rRNA from 1 species
AUACGUAGGGGGCGAGCGUUGUCCGGAAUGAUUGGGCGUAAAGGGCGCGUAGGCGGCCUGUUAAGUCUGGAGUGAAAGUCCUGUUUUCAAGAUGGGAAUUGCUUUGGAUACUGAUGGGCUUGAGUGCAGGAGAGGUUAUCGGAAUUCCCGGUGUAGCGGUGAAAUGCGUAGAGAUCGGGAGGAACACCAGUGGCGAAGGCGGGUAACUGGACUGCAACUGACGCUGAGGCGCGAAAGUGUGGGGAGCAAACAGGAUUAGAUACCCUGGUAGUCCACGCGGUAAACGAUGAUCACUAGGUGUCCGUGGGUAUGACCCAUGGGUGCCGCAGCCAACGCAAUAAGUGAUCCACCUGGGGAGUACGUUCGCAAGAAUGAAACUCAAAUGAAUUGACGGGG